CACGUAGGGUGCGAGCGUUGUCCGGAAUUAUUGGGCGUAAAGAGCUCGUAGGCGGUCCGUCACGUCGGAUGUGAAAUUCCAGGGCUCAACCCUGGACCUGCAUUCGAUACGGGCGGACUAGAGUUCGGUAGGGGAGACUGGAAUUCCUGGUGUAGCGGUGAAAUGCGCAGAUAUCAGAAGGAACAUCAGUGGCGAAAGCGGCUUCCUGGACCAGAACUGACGAUCAGGCACGAAAGCGUGGGGAGCAAACAGG
rnacentral:rRNA from 1 species